rnacentral:rRNA from 1 species
CGGCUUGUAGUCAUAUGCUUGUCUCAAAGAUUAAGCCAUGCAUGUCUAAGUAUAAGCAAUUAUACAGCGAAACUGCGAAUGGCUCAUUAUAUAAGUUAUCGUUUAUUUGAUAGUGCCUUACUACUUGGAUAACCGUGGUAAUUCUAGAGCUAAUACAUGCUGAAAGCCCCGACUCACGGAGGGGCGUAUUUAUUAGAUUAAAAACCAAUGCCCCUCGGGGCUCUCUGGUGAAUCAUGAUAACUAGUCGAAUCGACAGGCCUUGUGCCGGCGAUGGCUCAUUCAAAUUUCUUCCCUAUCAACUUUCGAUGUUUGGGUAUUGUCCAAACAUGGUGGCAGCGGGUAACGGAGGGUUAGGGCUCGACCCCGGAGAAGGAGCCUGAGAAACGGCUACUACAUCCAAGGAAGGCAGCAGGCGCGUAAAUUACCCAAUCCUGACACAGGGAGGUAGUGACAAUAAAUAACAAUGCUCUGGCUCUUCGAGUCGGGCAAUUGGAAUGAGAACAAUUUAAAUCCCUUAUCGAGGAUCAAUUGGAGGGCAAGUCUGGUGCCAGCAGCCCCC